rnacentral:rRNA from 1 species
GACCAGACUCCUACGGGAGGCAGCAGUGGGGAAUAUUGCACAAUGGGGGAAACCCUGAUGCAGCGACGCCGCGUGAGUGAAGAAGUAUUUCGGUAUGUAAAGCUCUAUCAGCAGGGAAGAAAAUGACGGUACCUGACUAAGAAGCCCCGGCUAACUACGUGCCAGCAGCCGCGGUAAUACGUAGGGGGCAAGCGUUAUCCGGAUUUACUGGGUGUAAAGGGAGCGUAGACGGCAUGGCAAGUCAGAUGUGAAAGCCCGGGGCUCAACCCCGGGACUGCAUUUGAAACUGUCAGGCUGGAGUGCAGGAGAGGUAAGUGGAAUUCCUAGUGUAGCGGUGAAAUGCGUAGAUAUUAGGAGGAACACCAGUGGCGAAGGCGGCUUACUGGACUGUAACUGACGUUGAGGCUCGAAAGCGUGGGGAGCAAACAGGAUUAGAUACCCUGGUA